rnacentral:rRNA from 1 species
GGGAGCUCUCCCNUAUGGUCGACCUGCAGGCGGCCGCGAAUUCACUAGUGAUUAGAGUUUGAUCCUGGCUCAGAUUGAACGCUGGCGGCGUGCCUAACACAUGCAAGUCGAACGUGAAAGUUCCUUCGGGAGCGAGUAAAGUGGCGCACGGGUGAGUAACACGUGGAUAAUCUACCGGGAAGUUGGGGAUAACGACUGGAAACGGUCGCUAAUACCGAAUACGCUGUUCUAUUUGUUUAGGACAGGAAAGGAGGCCUCUGCAUAUGCUUCCGCUUUUCGAUGAGUCCGCGUCCCAUUAGCUAGUUGGCGGGGUAAAGGCCCACCAAGGCGACGAUGGGUAGCUGGUCUGAGAGGAUGAUCAGCCACACUGGGACUGGAACACGGCCCAGACUCCUACGGGAGGCAGCAGUGGGGAAUAUUGCGCAAUGAGCGAAAGCCUGACGCAGCGACGCCGCGUGAGGGAUGAAGGUCCUCGGAUCGUAAACCUCUGUCAGAAGGGAAGAAGUUGCACUGUGCUAAUCAGCGGUGCAUUGACGGUACCUUCAAAGGAAGCACCGGCUAACUCCGUGCCAGCAGCCGCGGUAAUACGGAGGGUGCGAGCGUUAAUCGGAAUUACUGGGCGUAAAGCGCACGUAGGCUGUAUAUCAAGUCAAGGGUGAAAUCCCCGGGCUCAACCUGGGAACUGCCUUUGAAACUGGUAAACUGGAGUAUGUGAGAGGGUGGCGGAAUUCCUGGUGUAGGAGUGAAAUCCGUAGAUAUCAGGAGGAACAUCAGUGGCGAAGGCGGCCACCUGGCACAAAACUGACGCUGAGGUGCGAAAGCGUGGGUAGCAAACAGGAUUAGAUACCCUGGUAGUCCACGCUGUAAACGAUGGAUACUGGGUGUUGGGAUGUAUGUCUCGGCGCCGUAGCUAACGCGUUAAGUAUCCCGCCUGGGGNNUACGGUCGCAAGGCUGAAACUCAAAGAAAUUGACGGGGGNCCGCACAAGC